CUUAACUGACUGAGCCACCCAGGCACCCCUAUGGUUUGGUUAUUCUAUAUCUAUUUCUUGCCUUUGGACUUUUAAAGGAUUUUUUAUUGUAAAUUUUUCAAGCAUAUGGUAAAGUACAGAAACAAUACCGCAAACAACAAAUACCUAUGUAACUAACACCUAAUGGUCACAUUUUAACUUUUUAUUCUGGACACAAAUAAACCCUGUGCAGACUUGUUUCUUCUUUUUAAUUAAAUAUUUAUUGAGAUAUAAUCCACAUAUAAUAAAGGACAGCGAUUUGAAAUGUACAGUGUGGUAAGUUUUGGCCACUGCGUACUUCUGUGUAACCAUCACCCCAGAUAGGACAAGAUACAGAAUUUUCUCUCAUGUGUCUCUUUCAGUCAAUCCCCCCUGCCAGAGGCAACCACUGUCCUGAUUUCUCUCACAAUAGAUUAGUUUUGCCUGUUCUAGAACUUUAUAUAAAUAGAAUCGUACAGAAUGAACUCUUUUGUGCCCGGCUUCUUUUGCUCAUCAUAACGUGUUUGGGAUUCUUCCAUGAUGUUGCAAAUACCGGUAGUUCAUUCCUUUUUAUUUCUGAGUAAUAUUCCAUUGGAUGACGAUACCACAGUUUCUCUAUUCACCUGACAGUGGACCUUUGGAUGACAUAUUUACCCAAGAUAAAUGAAAACAUAUGUCUAUAAAAAGAACUGUAUAAAUAUAUUCAUAGCAGCUUUUCUCAUAAUGGUCCCAAACUGGAAACAACCCAAAUGGGCAUUCUAUUUUUAUAUGAGCAUCUUCUCCCCUAGACAAUGAGGACAGGAUGCUUACCUAAUUCAUCUGUGCACCCCGACAGCAUUUUGAACAUAUAGCAGCUGAAUCUGGAAGUCUUUGCUGAUUGGGUGAAAGGCAAAGGAGGAUACAGAGUUCUUCAAGCUCGGUUCAAGAGGUACCGGCAGGCUCAAGCACAGGACUCCUCCCUUCGGGAUCAAGAAAUUCACCUGGAGAACCCCGGGGAAGCCCCCAGGUCUCAGAAGCACUGCCUCUCUCACUUCGACCGCUGCUUCAGGCUGACGCUUUCAGAUCUUCAUAAAGGCACCGAACAAAGCCAGAUGAUGGACAGCUGUUCAGUGACCCAAGCCGGGGGCGCUGACCAUUCAGCUCUUCAGGAAACCAGAUGCUUGGCUGUGGCUUGGAAGCUGGUUUCACAAGGGGGUAUAAAAUGUGUUUCAGUGUAUUUGUUACAAUGCAGGGAUAAAUAUAUUUCCUUAGAUGACAAGUAUUAAAAACUUCAAGUCUU